CUGGAUCUCCGUGUAGGGCCCCGGAGCCGGGGACGAGGUCAGGUUCCCUUGUUACCGCUGGGUGGAGGUCGACGGCGUCCUGAGCCUGCCUGAAGGCACCAGGGCGAGAAGAGGCGCUCACCAAAAGUCACUGGCCAAGCCCUCCUCUGGCCUUCUAGGCCGUACUGUGGGCGACGACCCUCGAGGCCUGUUCCAGAAACACCAGGAAGAGGAGCUGGAAGAGAGAAGGAAGUUGUACCGGUGAGCCCUCCUCCCCUGACCCCACGUGAGCUGCUGAUGCUUCCAGCACCCACGCCUGAUUUCCUUCCUGCCCUACAGAGCGCGUGCGGGACUCCUGGAAGGAAGAUGCCUUAUUUGGGUACCAGUUUCUUAAUGGCGCCAACCCCGUGGUGCUGAGGCGCUCUGCUCACCUUCCUGCUCGCCUAGUGUUCCCUCCAGGCAUGGAGGAACUGCAGGCCCAGCUGGAGAAGGAGCUGGAGGAAUCCGAGUGGGAAGAAGAUGCUUUAUGUUGAUAGCAGCCUUUGACCUCUUCCUGCACCCAGGGAGGCACAUUGUUCGAAGCUGACUUCUCCCUGCUGGAUGGGAUCAAGGCCAACGUCAGUCUCUGUAGCCAGCAGCACCUGGCUGCCCCUCUGGUCAUGCUGAAACUGCAGCCUGAUGGGAAACUCUUGCCCAUGGUCAUCCAGCUCCAGCUGCCCAGCACAGGAUCCCCACCACCUCCCCUUUUCCUGCCCACGGAUCCCCCAGUGGUCUGGCUUCUGGCCCAAUGCUGGGUGCGCAGCUCUGACUUCCAGCUCCGUGAGCUGCAGUCUCAUCUUCUGAGGGGACACUUGAUGGCUCAGGUCAUUGUUGUGGCCACCAUGAGGUGCCUGCCGUCGAUACAUCCUAUCUUCAAGGUAACACCUUAUCCCCUUCUCUCCUGUAUUCAGCUGAAUACUUGAUGGGGACCUUUGUUUCUCUAGAGUUCUCUUUCUGUACAACACCCUCAAUUUCAGCAUGCUGCCCUGUGAAUUCUGGCUGUAUUGGCCUCCCAGUACUGCCAGCUCUCUCUGUCCCCUUAACUCAGGAAGAUGAUAGGACUCUGCCAGGGUUGCUCCUCCCUACUCUGCAGCUGGAAAGCUUUCUCCAGGCAGUAAGCUGGGGCAAUUGUGGGGCCCACUUGUGUCUGUUUCUUCAGUUAUUUCAGGCAAGAGGGUAAAUCCAGUUCCUUACUUCACUCCAGCUGGAGGUCUCCUCCUCAUUAUUUUAUAUACGUUUUGUGGAAGAUUAACUUUACAAUUUAGUUUUUAGGUAACAGAAUAUUCAGACAGGACUGCGACUCCAUUCAUGGAGUAAUUAUCGUAGCUCAGAGAUGAAUAUUAUUACUCUCUCCCAGAGACGGAUGCAGUGACUUUUGGGACUUUGUGUGUCUCUUUUCUCAAGGAGAGACUAAUAGCAUCUUUAUUUCUAUGAAGAAUAGUUGCAUUGUGUUAGAUAGAAAAGAAUAUUUUAUUUUAUUUUAUUUUAUUUUAUUUUAUUUUAUUUUAUUUUAUUUUAUUUUAUUUUAUUUUUGAGACAGUCUCACUCUGUCAGCCAGGCUGGAGUGCAGUGGCACAACCUUGGCUCACUGCAACCUCUGUCUCCCAGGCUCAAGCAAUUGUCCUACCUCAGCCUCCCAAGUAGUUGGGAUUACAGGCGUGUGCUACCAUGUCUUGAACUCCUGACCUCAGGUAAUCUGCCUGCCUCAGCCUCCCAAAGUGCUGGGAUUACAGGUGUGAGCCACCACGCCUGGCCCAUUUUUUCUUUUGAGUAUGGAAGUUUAAAUAUAAAUGCUGAUUAACCAAUAGAACUGACUGUGGGAGUUAGGCUUCGCCCUUGGCUCCAACCCUCUACCUUCUAAAGUCAGCUUCCUGUCUAAGGCUAGGUCUCUGCAAACCAUAUUCCUGCCUUCUUACCUGGCUCCAUGUCGAGCUCACACCAGUAACUAAUUCACCCUGGUAGCAGAUGUUCCUUCCCUUAGUGGCAGCUGAAUCCACGUUGCAACUUUCUAAUGUUUGAAAAAGCUGCUUUAUUGCAUCCCUGCUCAGAAUACCAGCACCAGCCAACUGGCACCCCUUAUCAAAAGUCUGAGUUUCAGAUCUCCAGGGUCCCUCCUCCAAGUUUCUGAAGUUUUAAUAAUUCCAGGUUCUGUUCUUUCCUGUCUACUGGUAGGGUAGAGCAUCCUUUCAUACGCUUAUUACCCCUGUGGGUUUCUUUUUCUGUGACUUCUCUAUUCAUAUCUUUGCUCGUUUUGCUUCUUUCACGUCUUUUUCUUACUUGAGUCCUUUAAAUAUUCUGAAGACAAAUUCUCACUUAUUUGCAUUGCAACCAUAUUCUCAAAGUUUUUGGCUUGCCCCCAUCCUUUAAUUUUUUUUUUAAUUUCAGAAGACAGUUUCUCAGCUUUCACCAUGUGCCUUUAUCUUUCCUGGUUUCCAUCUCUGAUUUUAUUUUAUAAUGGCAACAAUGUGUUUCUGU
ensembl:lncRNA novel transcript